rnacentral:rRNA from 1 species
UGGGGAAUAUUGGACAAUGCGGGAAACCGUGAUCCAGCAAUGCCGCGUGAGUGAUGAAGGCCUUAGGGUUGUAAAGCUCUUUUACCAGGGAUGAUAAUGACAGUACCUGGAGAAUAAGCUCCGGCUAACUCCGUGCCAGCAGCCGCGGUAAUACGGAGGAUGCAAGCGUUAUUCGGAAUUAUUGGGCGUAAAGCGUCCGCAGGUGGUGCCUCAAGUCUGCUGUCAAAGACCGAAGCUCAACUUCGGGCAGGCAGUGGAAACUGAAGCACUAGAGUACGGUAGGGGUAGAGGGAAUUUCCAGUGUAGCGGUGAAAUGCGUAGAGAUUGGAAAGAACACCAGUGGCGAAGGCGCUCUACUGGACCGUAACUGACACUCAGGGACGAAAGCUAGGGGAGCGAAAGGGAUUAGAUACCCGCGUAGUCC